GACAUCAAAAAAAUAAUAAAAGCUAAUUUGAAAGGAAAAAAUAAAAAACCAUAUUUAUAUUUGCACUCUACAUUCAUAACGCGGAGGGAAAAAAGCGCGAACUGUAUUCUCCGUCUCUCUUGUCUCUGCGUGUAAAAAGCAUUACCAAUUGCCAUAGGCGCUGAUCAGCAACUUCAUCUUCAUCUUCGGUUCAAUCGUAAUCCCAAGGGAUGCGAUAACAUUCACGAUCGCGGCUGUGGAUGGGAGAGGUUCGAUCUCUUGUUCAAUUCGCUGGUUUGCAUUGAGGAGAGGAUGCCGAUUCAUAAGUAUCGAUCCGUUGAUGACUAGUUGGUGGCGGCAAACUUCAGAAUCGGCACUUUUCAGAAACUUAUAUAUGGCUUGAGGUUGGGCCCUGUUUGAAAAAUCAUGAUGGUUGCGAGUUAGCUAUUGCUUUCUAGGAUUUGGAUUGUUCUACUGCCAUUGGCCAAUUGUUUGGAACAGGCAGCGGCAGCAAGCAUCUGAUCUAUAAAAUAGCAAGCUCUGCAACUUGGUAACAUCUCCGAAACUAACUUUUCACUUGAAACUUACGGUUCAAUUAGAUUUGAUUAAGUUAUCAAAAGUAUCCUUUAACUAUAUAGUUGUUUUUGUUAUAUCCUAAACUUUGAAAAUUUUCAUUUUAAUGCUUGAAAAUUUAAAAUUUUUAAUUUUUUUAAGUAUUGUAUUCGUUUAUGUUUAGCUCAAGUGAACAAUUUAAACACAUACAGAAGUAAAUCUGAGGGUUGGUUAGCAAAAAAGUCAUAGAUAAAAUUUGAAAAGAUUGAAUGGAAGUAGAUGAUAGCAUGUGUUUGUGUAGAUUUGUUAACCGUAACCCAAUUUUCCGUAAAAUCUCAAAAUGAUGGUUUUGAACCAAAUUUCAAAAAUUUAAUUAAACUUAGACAUGAAACGUUUGAAAGUUUGGGAUAUAAUUAAAUCAUAACUUAAGAGAACUUUUGACAAUGUAACCAUGCGUAUUUCGGCAAAAUAUGUAAAAUGAGGAAUUUCAUUAUUUAGACACGAUAUAAUUCUCUGCUAUCAAGAAGUCUUGAAACUUCCAACAUUAAUUGAUUUCGUACGUGGAGGUCAACCAAGUACAAGAGCAGAGCACAUGAGUCAUUUGCUGAUGGUAAGUCAUUUGGAUUUUCUUUUCUCGUCCAUCGGCGAGCAUGUAAAUUGUCUGUUUUCCAAUUCUUUACUAUCAUUUUAUUACUGUCAAGAUUGCGGUAAAAAAGAGUCUUGAUGGGUUCAAAUUUUGAAUCAACGAACUCAAGUGGGUCUCUUAUUUGGAAGCAUGAGUUCUUAUUCCCCUAAAUUUGCGGGAAAUUGAUGUCUAUGCAUAACAAUGUGCAUUGUGCAAGUCUGAGAGUAUAUUCAUGAAAAAUUAAUAUGUUAGGGAUAUAUAAGUUAUUAGUGUUAUUUGGCCUAUUAACUUCCUAGUUCGAUAUUAAAUAAUUUAAUUCUACUUAACUUUUAUUAGAUUUAAUCUUCUAUUCUUUUUCUCUUUUAUACAUUUAUUAAAAAAAGUCUAUCUUCACAACUCUUCAUUCAAAAUAUACUUUCUUACUCCAACAUAUCAACUUUAAACUUUGAGACUUGAUUAUGUGUGUUUAAUGCUCCUUGACUUCUAUAACUACUAUUAAAGUAGUUAUAAUUUUGGAUAAGAAUUGGGACAUGAAAUGUUGUGAUAAUGAUUUGAAACAAAAAUUAAGACUGAAUUCUAGGUCACCCAUUUCAAUUUUCAAUUUUCAUUCCAUAUUUCUUCAUUUUGAAACAUUUGUACAGAGUUAAAAGGAUAAUAGUGUACCUUUUGAAAACAUAGGGAUAUUUUUUAAUCAAAUGGGUGAAAGGUAUUUUCAUGGUUUAGCCCACUUUUUUUUUAUCGGUAAAUUACUCAAAAUUCCGAACUUUUUUGCAGAAUUACAACCCUUUUAAUUAUUUGGACCAGUUUAUUUACAUUUUUUUUCCUUUUUGUAAAAUUUAAAAAUUAACAUAAGAUUUAAAAAUAUUAGUUGAUAAGAUGAAAUUUGAAUACAUAAUUUUCUUUUUUUACUUUAUCACUUGACCCGCGAUGGUUGCCAUCAAAUCAUUCUUAAACUUCCUCGUGAGUUUUGAUUGAUUUAUUUCUCGAUGAGCACGUUCUCUGUUUGUCACCUCUACUCAUCUCUCUUUAGUCUUUCCCCUCCCCCACCAUUUCUUCUAAAACGUCUAUGUUCCAUCUGGUAUCUCGAACAAAUAAAAAAUUUGGUGGAUUUUCUUAAGAUAAGUAGAUUUGAACACUGAUUGACGUGGCUUCCCUUUGCCGUGAACCUAUGUGCCAGAUUGACGUGGCUUCCCUUUGAAGUGGUAAAAUUUUUCCCUUUAUUUAUUUUAUUUAUUUAUUUUGAGAAAGUUAAAUUUUCCUUUAUACCACACUCUGCUUUACAGUUCAUUAUACUUAUCCACUUUGCUUUAACUAUUUAAUAAAUCAUCUUGUGAAACGUGUGCCUCAAUGAAUGGGCAGAAAUAUAAUAGAAAAAUGGCAUUCAUUCAUUAUUCAUUCAUUUACUUGAAUGGGUAGUUGGAACUUGGAAGAAAUUUUUGCAACCUUAUCCUUAGGAUCGUGAGAUUCUAUUAGGAUUAGGUUCUUGGAAUUGUUUGGGACCCAACUUUUAUAUAGAUUGGUAUAGAAUUGUUGUGGAUUUGGGAUUUUGGAGGUGGUUGAAUAGAAUAGAAAGAUUGUAUAUUCUGGUAAAACGACACAUAUUUAUCCACUGGCCAAUUGGGAUGGACGACACAACCAGGUGUCCCCAUCAAUUACUCCCAAAGGCCAUUUUAUCUUUUUUUCAACAUCCCAAUUUUGAAAGGCCAAUAACUAAAUGCACCUUAGUCUAAGUUGCACCUAUAUUACAUUUGCUCUUUUUUUUAUAAUUCUAAUAGAAUUUAGAUCUAGCUCUUGGGUAUAUCAAUGAUAGAGUCUCACUUCUUGACAGGAGUUUACCAAUAACAAAGUAUAGUUUUUUCUUAUAUUUACCCUUCUUUAAAAAUGUUGCUAUAUGCUUAAUUAUGAAUCCUAAAAGUCUUAUGCAUUCUAAUUAUAAAAUACUAAUGAUUAAAUUUUUUUCUAAAAGAAUAAUUUUCACACAACAAACUUUUGGUAGAUAAGUAAUCGAGCUCCACAGAAAUAAGUGCAGCAACGUCUAAACAUUUUUCUAGAUAUGAAAUGACUUUCUUGCUCCAGAGUCCCUACUACCACUUCUUAUUUCUUCGCGUAUCAUAUUGAUUGGCCCAAAUAAAGUUGCUUUUAUGCUUGGGCUUAGAUAUCUGUCAAUUCUGCUGGACAUAGACCUCAAAACACCAUUGAUUAUGAAGCCUUUUUCUUUUCUUUUCUAUUUUUGAUAACCAACAUUAGUUAUUAAGCUGUUUUUUUUUUAUUAUUAUUUAAAUAGUUAUCAUAAAGAGUAACUUAUAGUUUCAUUCCGUAUAAAUGGAUAGCAUCUUUUCGAGCUAAACUCUCUUUGACUAUGGUUCAUUUGCACAUAGUUACAUAUAUAUAUACAUCAUUGUGUUUAGGGAUGGAGGAGUUUUCUAGAUUUUGUUGGUUGACUUUGAUGGCCAGUAGAAUUGGUUAAGCAGCUGGGGUAGGUUAAUCAAAAUUGAUAUUCCUGGAUGAAAAUUACUUGGUUUUAUUUUUCUUUUGACAAUAUGAGGGUAGAAGGAUCAAACUUUUGAUAUCAGAAUUGAUACUACAAGCUUAAUGUCGAUGAAGUAUGUUGAUGUUUCCAAUAAUUAGUACUACUAGUUAGAUUCUUUUACCAUAAUGAUUGUUUUUAUAUAUGGAAAGUUUUGAAGGAUACAUCUCAAUGAUCUUUAGAUCAGCAUUUUCAAUGUUAAAAUAAGAAUAGUUGAGAUGUCCCAAAAUGGAAUUUUGAAAGUGAUAGGAAAUAUUGGUUGGAAGAAAAGAAAGAGGAUAAAGAAAAUGCACCAAAUAGGGGAUUUGUAACGGAUGCAGAGAAAUGGUAACUGUGGAAGUAAUGAGUCCAUUGAAACUAGUAGAGAAUAUGACCGAGAAAAAAGAAAAAUACUUGGGGAAUUUGUGUUAUAUAUGUGGAUUUUUCAAUUUUUGUCUAAUUAAAACAUUUAAUCUGUUUAAAAUUUUAUGACACAAAAUUCAAUUAUAAAUAUUGUAGAGCUAUAAAUAUUGCAGGGUUUAGGGGCAUCUUAAAUAUUGAAGCUUUGAAUUUAUUAGUUUUGAAAAAGAGAUCUAUACAAAAAAAAUAUCGUAAGUUAUAAUUGCUAAAUUUGUAAUUUAAUCUAAUCUAUCUCUAUAGUAUGUUAUUUAUAUAUAAAUGGAGAUAGGGAAUUUUUUUUCCUUUAUUAUUUGCUCAUAUUUUUGAAGUAAAUUUUUAAUCUACACUCUUGGAAAAGCUCUUCUAGGUGUCCGAUAAAUGAAAUUGAUGUUGACAAGAUGUAUCCUUUUAAGAUUGGAUGUGCUUCUUCAAAUCUAUUUUUUUGUGAAGUACAAUAGAUACAAUCAUGUUGGUAAUCAAAUACAAUUGUUUCUUAGGUACAUCAAGGUUUAGAGGGUUUAAAAUGUCAUCUAAACCUUCAUGUUUGUUCAAACCUAGCUUCUUACCUAUUAAAUAAUAAAAGCAUGAAAUUUUAAUAUAAUGUGUAUAAAAAUAAUAAUAUAACCGAUAAAUGAUAAAUUUUGACUAGUCACAAAUUUCAAGUUGAAAUGUAUUACAAAUUUAAAUUGGAAUCCAGAUUUUCAGGUUUUCUUUAAAUUUACUUGAGAAAAGAAAAAGUGAUAUAAGGCAAAAGAUAAUCAAGCCCAAAAGUAAAUUAGUUGGACUCAAGGGCUAAAAGCUCUAUAAACUCUAUAUCGAUGAAAACUACACCCCAUGAAAACUCUAUAUUGAUAGAGGAGUUUCUCUUCAUUAUGGAGUUUUGAAAGUGAGGCUUGAUAAGUGAAUUUUUUUUUUUUUAUAUACUUAUAACAUAAUUAUAACACAUCUAAUUUAGAAGGUUUUAAAUGUCUGUCUCCAUUCUCAGACAGAAAAUCCUUAAACAAAAUGACUCCUUGGAGUUUAAAUUAAACAUAUAAGAUGGGAACUAAAUUUGACCAAAACUUAAAUUUAGGUUUGAAAAAAAUUAUUCAAUGUCACGAUUCCUUUUCUGUUUUUGGGUGUAAAAACUAAAACUUUCAAAACAUGUACUAUGUCACCAUACGACUGUGUUCAAAGAAGAGAUUGGUCAUCCAUUGGCUUGCUUGAAUUCAGGAGCAUUGCAUCCGCAUCGUAACCUAUGCACUGCCGGGAAAUGGUGCGACCAUCUACGGCCGCCCGCCCCCAACCCAUAAGGCCCAUAACCGUUUCGGUUUUGACUCUGACGUCGCUAUGCAAUUUCUUCUUCUUCCUUUUUUAAACUUAGAUCCAUUCUGCAAACAUCUUUUUUAUUAUAAUAUUUUUGACUAAACAUAUAUUUUAGUAUUUGAUAUUUUCAGCAUUUGUUUAGCAUUUUUUCUUUUAUAAUUUGUAAAAUUAUAUUCAAAUUUAUGUCUUUUUUUUCAUGGAAAUUAUUAUUAUUAUUAUUA